rfam:Ovis aries breed Texel chromosome 2, whole genome shotgun sequence.
UCCCAGGUGGCUCAGUGGUAAAGAACCCGCUUGCCAAGCAGGAGAUACAGGUUCAAACCUUGGGCUGGGAA